CAGUAGCCACGGGAAUACGUAGGGUGCAAGCGUUAAUCGGAAUUACUGGGCGUAAAGCGUGCGCAGGCGGUUAUAUAAGACAGAUGUGAAAUCCCCGGGCUCAACCUGGGAACUGCAUUUGUGACUGUAUAGCUAAAGUACGGCAGAGGGGGAUGGAAUUCCGCGUGUAGCAGUGAAAUGCGUAGAUAUGCGGAGGAACACCGAUGGCGAAGGCAAUCCCCUGGGCCUGUACUGACGCUCAUGCACGAAAGCGUGGGGAGCAAACAGGAUUAGAUACCCCCGUAGUCCCUGUCUCUUAUAC
rnacentral:rRNA from 1 species